AUUUCCGAGCACCUUAGACAUGGUCCUAUCGUCUCUGGCAAAUGUCAGUGAGUCAUAAAAGUUUGAUGUACGUUGGCUAACUGUUAAAAGAACAGCUUAUUACUUGAAAGGUAAAUCUAAAAUUCAUAUAUCUCGAUUUUACAGAUAGCAAAAGGGUACCGUAAAGUGCAUAAAAACAAACACACACACAUGCAAGCGCUGUAUAUUAAAUCGGAGGUUUGAAACAUUUCGCCAUUACUGCAAUGAAUUGCUACUGAUCAUUUGAUUAGCUGUAAUUUUACAUUAUCAUGAACCCACUCAAAAAAUAAAUAAACUAUAUAGAGUUAAGAAUGACUUACAGAGUUUCACAAUCAAUAUGAGCAAAACCCAUGUAGGCUAUAUAUAGCCUAAUACAACGUGGAUCGAGCGAAUACAUGUAGUAUCCAAGUUUUAUACUUAUAAUUAAAAUCUUAUAUUAGCCUAUAUAUAGUAUAGUAUAACCUAACUUGCCUUUCAUUAACUUUGCUUUCAUGUUCUACUUAUUUGUUGGUAAUGAAAAUUAGUUUGAAAAUUGAAAAUUUUUGUUGAAAUUUGAAACAUUUCGCUAUUAUUGGCAACAACGUUGGUUCUUUAAAAACCAAGUUUAUCCUUAUCGGUCCAAAAACAUUUCUACCGAUCGCGAUGUCAUUAUUAUGGGCUAUAUAUAGCUAGUUAUAAACUUAUAAUACAUAAAUCGUGGCGUCGAUGGAAAAUGUACAUGUGUUGUUUAAUUGCCACGUCGAUCAUUGCACCACGCAUUCAGUAUAAUCUAUAAUCUAUAAGUCCUGACUGAUAUAUAUUAAAAUAACAAAUUGACAAUUGCUAAAGAGUAAUAUAAGAUAUAAUUUUAAAUGACAAGCAAAGUCAGAGUUUUGGGGAAUAUAUAUUUGUUAAAGAAAUGUAUAGGUCUAAGUGAAUUAUGGCAUAAUUAUAGCAUAUGUCGAUAAAUUGGAGGGAUAACUUAAUUUCAUUAUGUUUCGUUAUCAAGUUAUAUACAUGCAUGCACCGAAAUACAUGGCCACCUAUAUCAUUGCUGCCGUAGCGAGCGAGCGUGAAGCGAGCGAGGCAGCAGUCCUAAUCUUUAUGUAUAUGUAUAUAUAUAUAUAUAUAUAUAAGGCAGAUGAAAUCUCGAUGGUUUAAUUUCGGCGUAUUUUGGCCUACCACAAUGCACUGCUUCCGGGCCGGCAGGCUAUUCUUGCCUAAUAAACAGGCAUAAGGCAAACAAGCAAUGUAAUCAUCUUUCAUCAUUGGUUUUCUUUUAUGACCUUUUAUGGAAAGCCAUGCAUAGCUGGCGUAAGUGAUCAAACGGCAUUUUGUCGAUACGCAGCAGUGAUACGCAGUGGUUCGAGCGUUAUACGCGGUGCUUUCGUAUAUUAUACGCAGUGGUUCGAGCAUUAUACGUGGUGCUUUCGCCAUUAUACACGCGGUGCGCUCGCCAUUACGGCGGGCCUAUACGGGGUGCUUUUAACAAAAUUUCCUAUAUCCUUUCCAUGUAUAUAAUCUCACGAUUGCUUAAAUUUGGUAUGUGGCUGUGCUUUUUUGCCUCUGGUGUGCAAUGACAAUGGCAUGCUUUUAAAAAGGUUUAUUUAUAAAAAGGUGACUGCACUUUGUGAGUUCUAUAUUAUCAUGUAGUGUUGAUUUAUUAGUAAUAAAUCUGUGUAUAUAACAUAGCUAUACAAAUUAAUAUAACGCAGCGAAUGCGCGCCAAGCAGUAUAAACGCGGUUGAAAUACGAUAUUAAAAUCUUGAAUGUGCUGUAUGAUUUAAUUAUGUUUUAGGAUUUAAAGCAGCGAAUGCGGGCUAAGCAGUAUAAACGCGGCUGAAAUACGAUAUUAAAAUCUUGAAUGUGCCGUAUGAUUUAAUUAUGUUUUAGGAUUUAAAGCCUUUAAAAAUGCUUUGUCAUUUGUAUUUGUACUUGUACUGCAUCACAAGGCAGUGAACAGAUUCCACAAGUAAGUGAACAGAUUCCACAUGUGAGGUUGUCUUGUAUAUAUUUUUGCCUUCUUUGAUAAACAUUAUUAAACACGUAAAUUUAGUGAGACGCACAUUCGCACAUGUUAAAUGUCACCUGCAUGUCAUUGCCCUUUAACCCCUGGUCUAAAUCAUAGUUAUUGAAGCGGGGCCGUUUUGACCUACAGUAGCACCGUAUUUGUACGCAAAUUGUCUAUACAAUUUUAUAUACUAGAUAUCACAGCCAUACCUGCCAUUUUGAUCUUUUCCUCGCGUUAGAUAAGUUGAUAAGGGGCAAGUCAUCAUUAAUGUCGGGUAGGGGGCCGGAGGAAAUUUUUAUGAGUAGCAAACAUUUUUCAUGACCCCUUAUUUUUCUAACAAAAUCAUUUUAUCCCCUCCCCUUAUAGAGGCAACAUACUUCAUAGCCCCCCCCCCCGCUUCCCACCAAUUCUGAAUUCAAUGACUCUAAGUCAGUUUCGUAACCAUUUUUCCUGCCUUCAUACUCAGUUUACUUGCAGCUGUAAAGAAUAUUGUAAAUAUUGAAAAUGAUAGCCAAGGUGGACAGGAGUGACUUUAGUUUCACAAUAGACACAAUAGAUAAUUCAGACUUUAUACCUAAAAAGUUGUUGGCCCUUAAACAAAAACCCCACUGAUCAGGCCUACUUUUACUAAUUGAAAAAAUACAUUUGUGUCUGGUGGAAGCAUUAUAUUGAAGAAAUUGCAGAAGAGACUGUCAACAACAUACAGAAAGAGAACAUGCCAAAGAGGUCCUCUGUGUUAAAAAGCGUAAAACAGGACAACAACUCUCAAUUGGAUCUUGCAUUUGCAAAUGCAGCCAAAUUCUAUGGUGAUGAUGAGGAUGACAAUUUCCAUAUACAGUAGCUAGAACACAACUUUUAGGUCCAAUAUAUUGGGCAUUACUGUCUAAUGUAUGUAUGUGUACUGUAUAUAUCCAUUACUCUUGCUAUUACAUGUUACAAACUAUUCCAUAGAUUUUAUUUUUUGUUCCCCCCCUUUAUGUCCAAAUUAUUUGUCUGCCCCCCCCCCGAUUCACUAGUCAAAAAUUUUUUGUGGCCCCUCUAAAUUUCCUCCGGUCCCCUACCCGGCAUUAAUAAUGACUGGUCCCUAAGUACACUCAUUCUUGUUAACCAUCGUAUCUGUUCGGCUGUUCCUUAAUUUUUCGAUACGAAACUUCGAGCGCCGAGUUAUCGUACGGCACAUUCAAGUGUAUAAAUUAUGGAUGAUUCCAAUUAAUUACAAAUAUUUCUUACUCUUAUUCUUGCACUGAUAUUAAAGAUUUGGGAACAAUGCUAUACCAAGGCAGCAUUCACUACCCUGUGGGUAAACUAGUAGUAAAUUAUACACGAACACGAACAGUAUUUGACAGAUUGGUAUUUACAAGUAGUUCUUGUUGCCUUUAGGCAAUUUAGUAUAUCUGUAUGACCUCGUAUAAAGUAUAUAGGUAAUUAACAGAGCGUAUAAUGUAAACAUUUUUCAAAUAUCGUGCACGAACAGAUAUUGUCAGGGGACCUCGUCUCGAGGUAAUAAAAUAGAACUGAAUUAGGACCUCGUCUCGAGGUAUAAUAGAAUAGAAAAUGAAUUAGGACCUCGUCGAGGUAAUAUAGAAUAUAGAAAAUGAAAGUUAGGAUCUGAGCACCAAUUGCAAGCAAAUUAACACGAGAUUAAAUCGAAUAGCCUGCAAACCCCAAGAUUAUUAUAGAUAAUGAAGAUAAGAUAUAUAUACUAUAUGUAUAUAUAUAUAUAUAUAUAUAUAUAUAUAUAUAUAUAUAUAUAUAUAUAUAUAUAUAUAUAUAUAUAUAUAUAUACAUACAUGCACACAAGUUGACUUUUCAACUUAAACUUACACGCAAAACGGUUGGACUAUGGUAAAUAAUGCAUCACUCUUUCAGCAUCUUCUGCACAAUUGUCAACCGGCCACCCCCGACAGUGUCUCGAACUUUUUUCUUUCCUUGCAUUCCUGUUCGAGUAGCGGGUUUCAACUAUACUUACCUCUUAUACAAUUAAGGCAUGCCCAAAGCUUGGAACUUAAUUUAAAAAUAAAUGUCUGAUAGCAUAAUCGAGUAAAGCAUGCAUGCGGUAUAAAAUAUUUUCUUUCAAAUUUUAUUUUACAGUAAGAUGUCAAAAAAACCAGCUUUUCUCAUCAUUUUCGCAGCCUUGGUUAUCGCAUACUUCCUGUUAUGUCGAUCAGUUAAAGAUGAAGGUAA
rnacentral:lncRNA from 1 species